rnacentral:lncRNA from 1 species
AGAUAUUCCCGAUAGAUUCUUCAUACCUUGAAAGCAGAGCCCUAUAGAUGAUCUUUAUUCUGUAUCAUUCGCAGCAUGUAGAGACAACUUGGCAAAGGAGUGCCUGGCUGCCCUACUGGAGAGGCUUCUGAGCAUGCGGUGCCUUCUGUGUGGGUGACCAAGUUUGCAUCUCACCUGAUCAUGAGACCCUGGUGCUGAGUGUGAGGAGUAAGCCAAGGAUUUGAAAGAACCAACAGGGUUUGAAGGAGAAUCACAGAUCCUCUUUCCCGCUAGCUAUCAGGGCAGUGGUGGCAGAGCUGAAGAAACCUCGUUUAUGCAGCUGAGCACAUUAGGACCAGAAGAACUGAAGGACCCAUUAGAGACCCUCCAGGAAAAGGAGAACCCUACUAAUGUGUCUAGAGAUGGCAUUGAUGAGGUUGACAAAAUUGCUGGUUUAUCAGCGGCUGGCUGUUCACUCUGCAGCGUCUCAGUGGAACAAUUAGAAUGAUACAGAAAAGUAAGGGCGGUGGAGCCGAAGCUGGGAGUUUCCUGGGAACCACGAAGAUUCUUGGCAGUUUGUACCAAACAGGCUUAGGCCACAUGUAGGCAAAUAACCGUGCAUUAAAUAAGUUUCAAA